CUCGUAAGUCCCUCAAUUUCUCAAAUCCCCCAAUUUAACCUGAUUUCACCUUGAUUCGAUCUUGUUUGCACCUUCUUGGCGAAACGUAAGCGUAGCCAAGCUAGUGACACUGUUCGUUGAUUCAAUGAAUGGAAGAAGAAGAGAAGCAGAUAACAUGUCUCAUGUCUGUGAUUGUUUGCGGUGGAAAGAGAUCUCUGUUUGAGACUUCUUCUCUUCCCUUCUCCAAGAAACUCUGUUCCUUGUCUCCCUCUCGUUUCUCCUCCUCUCUUCUUCUCGAUCACCUCGCCGCCAUUUUACCCGACAUGGAUAUUCACAUUCUUGAGCGAGGAAUCAACGAAUAUUGGAGGUGAUCUUUGAACCAGCUUCAUUAGAAUCCACCAAUCAAAAACCUGAAUUAUCUCUAGUCCAGGAAGAAGCAAAAGUUGCAGUACGGGAAGGGGAGGAUCAUCAGGGAAGGAGGAGGGAGUCCUGAACUUGGAUGGCACUGAGUGGGUUGAAUUAUUUAACAGGGAAAUGACGAAAUGCUUCAGACAUGAAAGUCGCUAAAGACCGCUUCAAGAGCCUUAAGCUUUGGAGAAGUUCGUCAAGGCUCGUGCUUGUGCUGACGCAGUGAUGCAAAGCAGUGUCCAACAGGAGAACCUGAUGCUGAGACUGCAGUUAGAAGCUAUUGUCGAGGAGAAUAGUUCACUCAAACGAGCUGUGGUGACGCAGCAGAAGCGGCAGAAAGACACCGAAGAUCAGAGUCAGGAGUUGCAGGGUUUGAUGCAGAUGGUUACUCAAUACCAGGAACAGCUGAAAACUCUGGAGGUGAACAAGUAUGCUCUCACGCUUCAUCUGAAACAAGCACUGCAGAACAACAGUUCCAUCCCUAGCUAGUACCAUCUUUUUUUAGGCAAAACUUAAAAAAAUACAUUAUACAUGUAAUGUAAUGUUUCAAGUGUAUUUUCUACCCAAAAAGUACAUAUUAAAGUUGCACAAACACAAAGAUUAUAAGAA